GACGAACGCUGGCGGCGUGCUUAACACAUGCAAGUCGAGCGGUAAGGCCCUUUCGGGGGUACGACGAGCGGCGAACGGGUGAGUAACACGUGGGUGACCUGCCCUCAGCUCUGGGAUAAGCCUGGGAAACCGGGUCUAAUACUGGAUAUGACUCCAUGACGCAUGUUGGUGGGGUGGAAAGCCUUGUGCGGCUGAGGAUGGGCCCGCGGCCUAUCAGCUUGUUGGUGGGGUGANGGCCUACCAAGGCGACGACGGGUAGCCGGCCUGAGAGGGCGACCGGCCACACUGGGACUGAGACACGGCCCAGACUCCUACGGGAGGGCAGCAGUGGGGAAUCUUGCGCAAUGGGCGAAAGCCUGACGCAGCGACGCCGCGUGAGGGAUGACGGCCU
rnacentral:rRNA from 1 species